ACAAAAAACGAUAAGACAUAAAAUGGUAGCUUAGCUGUGAAUGAAAACAAAUUUUUAAGAUUUUUGUUUAUAGUGCUGUUCUAUCUCUAGCAUUGUUACUAGUGACGUGAACAAAUCCUUUAGAAAAAACAGUUUGCUAUAUUAAUAGUUUUUAUUUAAGGAUUUAUUUUAAACUAGUCGUUAGCCCGUGGAAAAAUCCACCGGUUCGCCCAUCCUUUUUAUACCGCAUUGCGUGCGUCUUGCUACCUGCGCAGCUAAGCUACUAUUUUGCGUGAUAGACAGACGGACGGACGAACAGACGUAUACGGGUAUUAUAAUAUAGAAUCAAAGAAAGAAGAAAUACACAUGAGGCCACCCGCAUACCUUGCUUUUAAUGCUAGUCUGGUUUGAUGGUAAUAAUAUACAAAACACAUCACAUCACUGAAAAAGAGUACCAUGACUUGCCAAGAGUAUUGCAAGAGAGAGUUUGCGUUACCUGCAGAAGUCCAAAGCUCAUUUCAACUUUGCCAGAUGAAUAGUAGAACCACAGUGUUCAUCUAUGAUGAGGGUCAGGGCUUCGAAAAUAGCACUGUCAGGAGGUUUAGAAGACUGGUUAAUUAUGUAAUUAGUCUGAUAAGAGCAAGGAACUUGCUGAAUCGGCUUUAACGAGAAAUCAAAGAUCGGUAAAGAUAUUGUAUGUUUGAGGUUUUUAAUUUUAAUAUAUUAAUAAAAACGUUUUAAUGUUUGUUUAUGUUUGAAGCUUUAACUUCAGCGUUACCUAAUUUUUUUAACUAUAGUAAAACCGUAAAAAAGGUUCUUUUUAGUGUCAGGAAAAAUGGCUGUUCUUCUGUGCAAACUCUAACUUGUUAUUUUAUCACUCCACACUAUUUUGUAAACAAAGAGAGAGAAAUUGAGAAGGUAUAAGAAUGAAAUCAUUUUACCAUGACUUCAAAAAAGCACCCUUCACUGUUAAUAUUAGCUAAUCAGAAUGAAUUGAACUCAAUAGCAUGUUACUACGUACAACUUUACAAAUACAAUUUUUAGUCUUUUAUCACGUCGAAAUGUUAUUCAAAUAACAUAAACAUGAUUCUAACGUUCAUAACAGACAGACUGUUAAAGUAGGAGCUGUUUGUAAUCCCUUUUGACCAGACCAUUAACCACCUCCACCCCAACUUGUAGUGCAACGUGCAUUAUUCUCCGGAUUUUCAAUUCCUUCACCACAGUUCUUAUCUCUCCCUCAUUGUGUAGUAUUUUUUAUUCUAAUUUGUGUCAACGCCUUCACUUGUUUUACUGCAAUUCGAAACUUCUAUGUUCUAGGUAAUCAUUGACCUUUACCGUAAAGUUAUAAAAUAUUUUAAGCAAGCAUAUUAGCUAAUGAUGUCGUGAAACCAAAAUCUAUAUCUGUUAAGACUGUAAUUAGUAUUCUUUGUUUUUGUUGUUGUUGUUGUUGUUGUUGUUGUUUUUCUUAUGAAAAGAGUAAAACUCUAUUAACAAGAAUAGGGUACAAAGUGAGAACGCAACGUAUUAUUUAUUAUUACUUUCUUAUUUCAGAGAUCGUAAAAAUUUUAAAAUAGUGAAAAAAUCACUUGUCUGCCAUGACGUCACGUCUGAUACCAUGACGACUCAUUGAUUAACAGUUGGUCAAGAGAAAAGUUAAUUUCUUCAAGUCAAAUUUUAGCCUGGUUACCAAGUAAUUUUACACAUUGUGUACAAAUUGUUAUAAGAAUGUAAUAACUAACGUCAUUCACUUUUUUAUCCUACUUGCAUAUCAAUGUACUAACAUCCAUAUGUACUCAGUUUCAUUAGGAAGAGGGGGGUUUCAGCAUCAUAAAUUAGAGCAGAUUUGAAACAAAUCAAGACAAGAAGAGAUUUAAAAUCGGGACAAAAAGAGAUUACAAAUCGGGACAAGAAGAGAUUACAAAUAGUUGAAUAACAAGGGUUUUGUUAAAUUUUUUAAAUGACACUUAAUAGGAUGUUAUUUUGUGGAAUUUCAUAUCGUUAAUUUGUCGGACUUAUACUAUAGAGCUUAAAAAGUUGGUUACCAAGGCUUUUUUCGUUCUCAAAGAUAUUCACAUAUGAAUUUUAGAUGUAAUUAUCUGCAUAAAUUAUGAUGUCAUAUUUAGGAAAUAAUUUUUUUUGACACUUUCUGUCAUCAGUAAUUUUAGACCUGUUAGGGGGAUGUGUUUUCAAACUUUAUCAAUGCAUAGAUAUUAUAAAGUUGAAUUGAUUAACAUAGAUUUUUUAGAUAAAAUGACACUCGUUUCCUUGUCCCAGGCCUCUCAAUUCUUUGCUAACGACCCAAUAACUCGUAAUGCUAAAAUAUAAGUGAAAUGAAAAUUGUAAUAAUCUCUUACCUUUGUUUUCAACGUUAAAUUUCAGAAUCACAUAUUUCAGUCGCAUGGUAAAAUAAGGAAAGCUAAAUAUGAUAUAUAUUAAAAGUGCUAUAUAUAAUAUGUAUGUUAAUAUGCAUAUUUUCUUUCUAUGUGCAUUGUAUUUCUUUCUAUGUGCAUUAUAAUUACCCACAUACUUGUCGCCAUAGAUUCUUGGUCUACUGGUUAAAUAAAUCUUAAGCUGUGUUUAUUCAAUUCUUAUGUAAAACUUUAAAUACAGUUUUUUCAGACAUAAUUUCUAGUAGCGACAUGUAAAAGGUACGCUUUGUAUUGGAAUUAUUUUAGGGUUUUCCUUGGAUGUAAAAUGCA